rnacentral:lncRNA from 1 species
AAAAGAAUAUCAAUAAUGAUGCGUAUUUUUUGUUGGUGCUCUACACAUAGGAUGAUCAUUGAAGACGUUGGGUCGGCCCUGGUUUUAUUCUUCAAUCUCCAAAACAAAAAAUUUACUCAAGAUUAAAAUCAAAAUCAUUUUAUCUAAAAAUCAAAUACUUCAUCCGUCCAAAUCUUGACACGUAUUCUUUUUGGGUCGUCCCACAAUCUUGACACAUUUCCAAAUAAGGUAAUAAUUAUUACUUCUCUCUUCUACUUUAUCCCCUUUAUACUUUAUGACAUAAUUUACAACUCCUUAACUCUCGUACCGAAAUCAAACGUAUCAAGAUUCGUGGGAUGGAGGAAGUAAAAAUCUAAAUCAUUUUGGAAUGAGAUUAGCAUGUAACUCGGUUAUAUACGAGCUUUCACAUUUGCUUGAUUACAUACACAAGAAACACGAGGAAGAGCUUCAUAUUUCACUCCAAAGAUCACCGUUUCUAUACCUCCACAAGUUUCACAAUACUAUAUGUAUUAAAACAUACAAAGAAUCAUAUGCAUGUAACUUUUGAGACAAAAUAAUUAGAAUGAGAAUGAGAAUGAGAAUUUUAUUAGAGCAAGCAUUUGAUUGAAGAAUGAAAGUGAGAAAAUAUUAUAGAUGAUUAAAUAAAAAUGUAAGAGCUUAAGUUAUUUCAAUAGCAACUCAAAUUCCAAAAAUCAACAAUAAGAAGUAAUUAUCCCAUCAUUAUAAUUUCCAACUCAACAAUUCAAAGCAUGCCUUCUCGGCCCAAAUGGAUGUAGCCCACUUAAUAGAUUCAUUAGGUUAGCCAUCCUUUUCUUUAUUAAAAAUUUAUGGCACAUUAAGCUUAGGCCCAUUUCUCCCAAAUAGAUUGAAUAAGAUUUUAAAUCCCACCCAUUUGGGCCUUCCUCAAACAGAUGUUACUUUUGUUUUUGUUUUUUUUUAAAGAAAAGGAAAUUGUGUUUGUGUGUGAGGGCAAAAAGGAAAUCUAGCUUAUCGGCGAGCAAUUUUGGGUGAAAAUGAUAAUUAGACUGCAAAUCCCGACCCCGCCAAAACCUGAAAAUACCCAAAUUAACCUCCUUCCCACCACCGCCGACUCCGGCUUCAAAUUCCGGCAGAAGGUGCUUUACCUCCACUCCCUGAGAGUAAAUCCGGCAAAAGCCCUCCAUAAAAACCCUAAUAUCCGUUCUGCCCCUAUUUCCACUCUCCUCUCGGUCACUCAAUGCCUCUCAUCGAUGGGCGUCGAGCUCGCCGCGGCCGGCCGCAUUCUCGACAUGUAUCCGGAGCUCCUCACCGCCGAUCCUUACGAGGACAUAUACCCAAUUCUCGAUUUUCUCAUCAACGUUGUCCGAAUUCCGUUCCCCGAUAUCAGGAAGGCAAUAAUUCGGUGCCCUAGGCUCCUUGUUUCCGAUCCGGAUACCCAAUUGAGACCCGCGUUUCAGUUCCUGACCGAAUUGGGGUUUUCCGGGCCCCAUAGAUUAACCGCUCAGAACACGGUGUUGCUGGUUUCGAGCGUUGAGCUUACUUUGAUUCCCAAGAUAGAAUUUUUGGUGGGGCUAGGGUUUGAGUAUGAUCAAGUGAGGAAUAUGGUGCUGAGGUCGCCGGGGCUGUUGACAUUUAGUGUUGAGAAUAAUUACGUGCCGAAGGUGGAGUAUUUCUUGAAGGAAAUGAAUGGGGAUUUGGAGGAGAUUAAGCGGUUCCCGCAGUAUUUUUCAUUUAGUUUGGAGAAGAAGAUUAAGCCGCGCCAUAGGCUUUUGAUGGAGCAUGGAUUUUCUAUGGCAUUAUCAGAUAUGUUGAAGGUUAGUGAUGGUGAGUUCAAUGCGCGCUUGAUUGAGAGGCGACUGCGGAUGCUGGACUCGAGAUCAUCCUAGCUUUAUGUAAGUUGCUGCUUUUUUACAUUUGUAUAUGAUUGUGUAAUUGGAAUGCUUGUAGAUGGAGAUGUAAAUUCUAGCUUAUUUUUGUAAUGGGCAUGCAGAGUUUUUGUCAUGCGCUGACUUCACAAUUACAGAGAGUUUUGACUUUACAGUUAAAUUUUGUUAACAUACUAAUGCAACAAGUGUGAAAAGUUGAAAGAGUAUUUGAUAUAGGAUUGUGCCAAUUUGAUGGUAGCGACUCCUCUCUUGGUGGUAUAGUUUGUAUACACCAUAGCUUGGGAUGAUGAAGCUGUAGAUUGCAGUCUUACCAAAUGAAAAUGCACAUUGUAAUUUAUCUUUAGCUUGGUUUUCUAUUCCUUAUUAUCUCGUAGGCUUAACCCUAGCUAUAUAAGCUGACUCAUUGCCAAAAGAAAUCUCAUCUAUCCUGCAAAUCUAAACUUCUGUAUCACCAAGCUCAAAACAAGUGUGGGCACAUGUUGUUAAUUAACUUGCAGCAUGAAUUCACUAUAACUUUGUGAGUUACAAUACGAUAGAUUAAGAAUACCUCUUAAUCGACUGAAAACAAUUCAAUAGGAAAGAAUCCCUUCUAAACUAUUGAAAAGCAAAGACACAAAAGUCACUAGACUAUAUAGUGAGUAAAGAGGACUUGUAAACGCCCACAACACUCUAACAACCUAUCAGACUCUACAAACCAAAAGUAUCCCACUCUGAGACCAUAUCCAAUGGGAGUUUUAAAUUAGUGCUCAGGGCUUUUUUGAAGCUUCCAAUCUCUCCAACCCUGCUGCACUUUUCUGCUCUAAAAUGGAGAUUGUUACAGUAUUGCGCUAUUUUUUUUUCUUUUUUCUCUUUUAUGCAUUAUUAUUAUUGUUAUUUUGCAUUAAUUACAAUAGAUUUCUUCUAUUAAUCAAAAGUAGACUAAUUAAAAGUAUCUUUUUGGAGUAUUAGGCUCGAGAUGAAACUGAAAUUUUGCGCUAUUUUGGUGUUAAAGCUAUUGUAUAAUAGCACUGAGCGCUGCAGAUGCCCUAAGUUUACUGGACUCUGAAUGUUGGAAAGAAUGGUGAAUCAACAAGCUCAGAAUCAAACGCUGCAUCUAGCAGUGGACUUUUUCUCUCUAUGAAUUGGUACUGAAUGAAGUGCAAACACCCUCUAUUUAUAGACGUCUGAAAACCUUGAUAACCAAGCUUCUUCAGCAUGUAGGAGUCGACCUCUAACCACUUCAGAUGAGGUAGUUAUGGCUUCCUAAAUCUUAGGUCUUCAAGUAACAAACUUGGUUGAUAAGGUCAACCUUUUUCCUCUAUCUCCAUUUUUCUUAUCCUUUUGAAACUGUCCACCAUUUAAAUAUGCAGACUUAAAAUCUGUAACCUAUGAUUACAAAUUACAAUAUACCAUAUAUAGACUAUAUCUAAAUAUAAUGUAGUGCUAAAAUUUGUACUAGCACCAAGCCUUGGCUCUAAUGAAUCGAAGUUCUUUAGUGUGGUAAACUUCAGGUGAUUGCAAAAUAGAGGGACUUGAUGUAGAUCAACUCAAAACUUCUGGAAAUUCUUUAAUAACCGUGAGUCUACUCGACUUCCUUUUUAUCCCAUUCCACACGCUCUCUUUUCUUGUGGCAAUAGGUUCAAAUCCCUCUUCAUUUUAUAAAUGAAGAAUAAUGAGGAUAUAUCAAGGGAUGUUGCCUGUGGUAUCUAAGAAAUACGAAAACUCAACUGUAAUGGUCCAAUUACUCUUGAGGUUUAAAAGCUCAUAAAAAUGUGGACUGAAGUUCAACUCGGUGUCUAAAUCAGUAGUUUGUCUUAAGGCAACGGAUGAACUUGUUAAAAUUCUAAAUAAAUUUAGAAAUUAUUUCACCGCCCAAAAGUAUAAUUUAGUUGCUAAUACUCAAAUUUGAUCUGUCUUGAUGUUUGUUCUAUGAUGCAACAAGAAGAAUAUGUGCUCAACUAUGUCAUGGAAUCAUCUACUAAUAAAUUCUGAAGUUAAGAUAGUAUUGAAUAUUUUGCUAUUUUGAUUCAUAUUCCAUGGUAGACUUGGUGCAAAGGAUUUCUUGGAUGUUGGUUUUAAGCUUGGGAUGACUAAAAGCACCAUUGCAGCUCGACAUUCCUCUUUCCCUCUUUCAAUUCAUUCAGCUAAGCCCCCUAUAAGCUGUGAAAUUGCCUAGUCAAUACUAUAAUUGGCAUCUUUCACAAUUCUGUUGGAAAAGUAUUUUUUCCCCAUAUAUAAUAUUAUAGUACAUGUAUUAACAGCUCCAUAAAUUUUUGCAAGUGUGAUGUGUUCGAAAAUAAGGUCAUAUAACAGAAUGCAGAAAGCUAUAUUGCAAUAAAAGAGACAGGCUUUUUACCUGCACAAGAUGUUUAAUCACUUCUGCUGCAUGACUCAGAUUUUCAGUUACUGUGGGCAUUGUGCCAAACCUCUCCUCUCUCUGAAAGUCUGGUAACUCAGAAGAUUGAUAAUUGAUCUCAUUGAAAUUCAACACAUAUUAUAUUAUUCAUUAUUGAAUAUACUAGUAAAUGGGAUUCAGCCAUGGUAAGUUGUUGAUUUUACUCCCUCCC